rfam:Triticum aestivum genome assembly, contig: Triticum_aestivum_CS42_TGACv1_scaffold_147673_2BS
CUUGUACUCCCUCCGUCCGGAGUUACUUGUCAUCAAAAUGGAUGAAAAUGGAUGUAUCUAGAACUAAAAUACAUCUAGAUACAUCCGUUUCACUGACAAGUAUUUUCGGACGGAGGGAGUACUAU